rnacentral:misc_RNA from 1 species
CAAAAGUUUACGAAUAUAUUCUGGACAUUUAACCUGUAUUCAUAUUUUUAACAACACUCGCUACAACGUCUCACAGUCAAAAAGACUAGAUGUAAUAAAUAUAAUACUCAUACAGCACUUGUCCAAAACCACAAUGUAUUGUAUUAUUGGUGAAGAUCUAUCUAAUCUCCACCAUUUUCAGUAUCCUCUUCUUCAGCUAUUUUCCUCUUCUUUUCUUCUUCCUCCAUAAGUUGAGUGAGUGCCUUCAUGGUACGUUUCUCAAGCUUGUCAAGUUUCUUUUGCACAUCCCGUCGCAGGUCCCAAUUUGGCUUCUUGGGGACAAUAUUUAGAAAUGGAUCCUCUUUCUUCUCUUCGGGAGGAGGUAGAGUCGCAAUAGGAUCUUCGAACUUUGGAAGUACUGGCGGAGUGACUUUGCCUUCUUGAAGCUGCUUGUCAUGUGGCAGGUAAUUGCGGAACUUCAUUUGGACAUCAUUUUCGUCUUCCUCUUCUUUAGUCUUGUUACCAUCAUCGUCAGGGGUUUGAAGAAGUUCUUGAGCUUCUCUGAGGGCUCUCAGCCUCUCCCUUCGCGCCGCUGCCGCCGCCUCAAUGGCGUUUUCCUCCUCCGUCGACAUUGACGAUAUAUUUUAAAACUAUUUCUCCAAUUCGAACUCAAAAUCACUAUGGAAAAUGCUCGCAGCUUCUGCAGAGAGUAUCAAAG